UACGUAGGGUGCGAGCGUUAAUCGGAAUUAUUGGGUUUAAAGGGAGCGUAGGCGGUCUUAUAAGUCAGUGGUGAAAUCUCGAUGCUUAACAUCGAACGUGCCAUUGAUACUGUAGGACUUGAGUACAGUUGCCGUUGGCGGAAUGUGUCAUGUAGCGGUGAAAUGCAUAGAUAUGACACAGAACACCGAUUGCGAAGGCAGCUGACGAAACUGUAACUGACGCUGAGGCUCGAAAGCGUGGGGAUCAAACAGG
rnacentral:rRNA from 1 species